AUUCAUUUUUUUUGANAUAUUUUUCCAUUUUCCCUUGNGUAUCUAUUCCAUGUUGCUUCCACUAGACAGGUAAUUAUAUAUAGUUAGAAUGUUUUCUCCAUUUGAAACCAUUGCUACCGUAUAUAUUUACCCUUCAUACCUCAAGUGUUUUUGUUUUAAACACUUAUGGGGCGUGGAGAAAUGUCAGUGGAUGGCCGUAAUUUUAAAGAGCAGUUUUUUAUAUAUAGUCUGAUAAGAGUUAUAAUAAAUAAAAAAAAACUUUCAACAACGGAUCUCUAGGCUCUUGCAUCGAUGAANAACGCAGUGAAAUGUGAUAAGUAAUGUGAAUUGCANAAUCUCGUGAAUCAUCGAAUCUUUGAACGCACAUUGCGCCCAAUGGUAUUCCAUUGGGCAUACCUGUUUGAGUAUCAAAAUCCUUUCAAUUAUCAAACUUUUACAUAUAGAGAUAUAUGUAAAGAUGUUUGGAAUACAGUUGAGAAAAGUAAUAUUCUUUAUAGUAUUGCUUUCUUAAAAACCAGAAAUACUAUGUUUUGAUUUUUCUUCACCUCAUUUUGUAUAUCAAUUAACAAAUGAGUACGAGUAAAAAUAUACAAUACUUUGGAUGACCUCAAAUCAGGUAGGGAUACCCGCUGAACUUAAGCAUAUCAAUAAGC
rnacentral:rRNA from 1 species